GAUGAAGAACGUAGUGAAAUGCGAUAAGUAAUGUGAAUUGCAGAAUUCAGUGAAUCAUCGAAUGUUUGAACGCACCUUGCGCUCCUUGGUAUUCCGAGGAGCAUGCCUGUUUGAGUGUCAUUAAUAUAUCAACCUAUUCAGCUUAUGCUUGUUGAGUGUUGGAUGGUGGGGGUUUGCUGGUGUCUUAUGAAGUCAGCUCCUCUGAAAUGCAUUAGCGGAACAAUUUGUUGACCGUUCAUUGGUGUGAUAAAAAUAUCUACGCUAUUGACGUCAGUCAGUUCAGCUUCUAACAGUCCAUUGACUUGGACAAAUUUUUCAUUAAUGUGACCUCAAAUCAGGUAGGACUACCCGCUGAACUUAAGCAUAUCAAUAAGCGGAGGA
rnacentral:misc_RNA from 1 species